CCCGCAGCCCUAUCCCCCAAGUACUUUACUCCGAGCCGCUCCCACACCCACUCGGCUCAGGCCCAGCCCGUGACUACCCUGGUUUCAGCUCCAGGAAGCGGACACCGGCAGAAGCUUGAGUGGGGGAACUUAGAUCCCACCGCUGAAGCGCGCACAGUCUGGCCACCCGGCUGCAGGAUCGUCUUUGCUAGAAUCCUCGGGCGUGUCCAAGCCCGUGUGUAGAUCUCACUGACCCUCAGCGGAGGAACUUGUGAACCCCGCAGUCCGGGCACCUUAACAAUGGUCUCCUAACGUUGGCUGUGUAUGAAGAGGUGCAAACGGCCGUGGCACCUUACUUGGGAGAAACUUACGCCUUCCUCUUCUCUAUCCCAAGACUACACUCCUGAGAACCCUCAGCGGCCACUUCCGCCGUCCCUUCCGCUCGCCCCUUAGCGUGUGGAAUUGACGUAGCAGGAACAUUUCCGGUUGGUGGAUUCCGCCCAUUAGGUUUGUUGGUGGCGACUGGACCUUGCCAUUCAGGUAUUUCCUACACUUCUGCUCUUGGUUCCCGAGCUUCAUCCUCAGGAUUGGCAGCGUGCACUCCGAGUUCCAUUUGCCUUCUGAGAUUUGCCCUUCUUAGGGAGAGCACUCAGGAGAUCAGGAAAAUGACCACGGAGCUCCUGAAAGCCAAAAAAGAGGUGAGAAUAUGUGUAAAAUUGCAUCUUGGCUGCCGAGAGAAUGAAUACAUUCCAUUUUCUUGCGUUGGAGGCUGCUUUAUUGGUAGUUGGGCAAAGCUCACUUUCCUGGUCCUGGAGGAGUGGCUUAUUAAUACGAGGAGUCCCUCAACAUUUUCUGCCCCAUGCAUGCUUCAGUCAUUUUCUAAUUAAGUUAAUUGUGAACAGCUCACAUGGGGCAUAAAUACAAAUACAGGGACGUCCAGGCUUAAUUGUGCAGUGAUAAGGAUGCUUUUGAACUGUGGUGUUGGAGAAGACUCUUGAGAAUCCCUUGGACUGCAAGGAGAUCCAACCAGUCCAUUCUAAAGGAGAUCAGCCCUGGGUGUUCUUUGGAAGGAAUGAUGCUAAAGCUGAAACUGCAGUACUUUGGCCACCUCAUGUGAAGAGUUGACUCAUUGGAAAAGACUCUGAUGCUGGGAGGGAUUGGGGGCAGGAGGAAAGGGGACGACAGAGGAUGAGAUGGCUGGAUGGCAUCACCGACUCGAUGGACAUGAGUUUGAGUGAACUCUGGGAGUUGGUGAUGGACAGGGAGGCCUUGUGUGCCGCGAUUCAUGGUGUCGCAAAGAGUCGGACACGACUGAGUGACUGAACUGAACUGAACCGAAGGAUGAAAGGCAGGGACAACAUAGUAGUCUGUGGCCUGAAGUGGCUAAGGAGGACUUCUAGGAGUAGGGCUGUCUGAACAACCCCUGAGAAUCUGUUAAAUUGAAGAGUUGGUGAAGACAUACCAGUGGGAAGGGCAGGCAUCAUGGUUAGUCUAAGGCUGGGCCACUAAGCACACUGCCCUUAACACAGUGUGGGAAGAUUGUAUUUUAGGUUGAUUUUAAAAUAUGUACUGAUGAAAAUACAGACUAGCCACCCAUACUUGGAACAGAGAGGAGUUUGCUAUGGUCUGACCUGAAUUUAACAUUUGCGAGCAUUUUCAGCAUCUGGCAGUAGGGAGAUUUCACCAAAAAUUCUGGAUUGCUUGCCUCUCUGAGAAUAAACUGCACUGUAUUCUGGUGUAGGGGAAUUUGAGCUGAAUGGUGUCUGCAUCAUUUGAACAGGUCCUGCAGAGUCUGUACUUUCCUAGUAUCUUCCAUACUUAAGUUGA
rnacentral:lncRNA from 1 species